rnacentral:rRNA from 1 species
GCUGGCAGCCAUAUCACCCUGUAGCCCAAGACUGGUUGCCCACUGAAGCUAAGCAGGGCUGAGCCUGGUCAUUACCUGGAUGAGAGACCUCCUGGGAAAACUAGGUUGCUGCUGGAA